rnacentral:rRNA from 1 species
AGACCCGAAACCCGGUGAUCUAGCCAUGGGCAGGUUGAAGGUUGGGUAACACUAACUGGAGGACCGAACCGACUAAUGUUGAAAAAUUAGCGGAUGACCUGUGGCUGGGGGUGAAAGGCCAAUCAAACCGGGAGAUAGCUGGUUCUCCCCGAAAGCUAUUUAGGUAGCGCCUCGUGAAUUCAUCUCCGGGGGUAGAGCACUGUUUCGGCUAGGGGGCCAUCCCGGCUUACCAACCCGAUGCAAACUGCGAAUACCGGAGAAUGUUAUCACGGGAGACACACGGCGGGUGCUAACGUCCGUCGUGAAGAGGGAAACAACCCAGACCGCCAGCUAAGGUCCCAAAGUCAUGGUUAAGUGGGAAACGAUGUGGGAAGGCCCAGACAGCCAGGAUGUUGGCUUAGAAGCAGCCAUCAUUUAAAGAAAGCGUAAUAGCUCACUGGUCGAGUCGGCCUGCGCGGAAGAUGUAACGGGGCUAAACCAUGCACCGAAGCUGCGGCAGCGACGCUGAUGCGUUGUUGGGUAGGGGAGCGUUCUGUAAGCCUGUGAAGGUGGCCUGUGAGGGUUGCUGGAGGUAUCAGAAGUGCGAAUGCUGACAUAAGUAACGAUAAAGCGGGUGAAAAGCCCGCUCGCCGGAAGACCAAGGGUUCCUGUCCAACGUUAAUCGGGGCAGGGUGAGUCGACCCCUAAGGCGAGGCCGAAAGGCGUAGUCGAUGGGAAACGGGUUAAUAUUCCCGUACUUGGUGUUACUGCGAAGGGGGGACGGAGAAGGCUAUGUUGGCCGGGCGACGGUUGUCCCGGUUUAAGCGUGUAGGUGUGUGUUCCAGGUAAAUCCGGUUCACUUUA